UGUUGAUGGUGUGGAUAAUCCCAAAGAAGAUAUUUGAAUCUCUCUCAUACCUAAUAAAGUUUCUCAUCUGGAUUCUGCUUAAAACUCAAAAUCUCACUACGUAAUGU